CCAACAGUUUGAGCCUGCAGUUAAUUAUGAUUGCACCACUUCACUCAACCUCUGGACAACAGAGUGAGACUCUGUCUCAAAAUAAAAAAAGCAUUAAAAAAAGAAGAUAAAGGAGAGCAAAGUACAGAUGAUGCUGGACUUUACUAUUGUCAUGCUUUAAAUGUCCCCUCCAAAACUCAUGUUGAAACUUAAUCCCCAGUGUGAAAGUAUUGAGAAGUGGGGCCUUGAAGAGAUGGAUCAUGGGAGUCUGCCCUCAUGAAUGGAUGAAUGGAUUCAUGGGUUAUCAUAAGAGGGGAACUGGUAGUUUCAUAAAAGGAAAAAAGAAAGACCCGAGCUAGCACAUGACAAUGCUUGGUACCCUCAUUAUGCAGUACCCUGUGCCACCUGGGGACUCUUCUUCAGCAAGAAGUCCCUCACCAGAUGUGGCUCCUUGACCUUGGACUUCUUAGCCUCUAAAACUGUAACAAAUAGAUUCCUUUUCUUUAUAAUAUAGUUACUUAGUUUCAGGCAUUCGUUAUAAGCAACAGAAUAUGAACUAAGAGAUGUAUUAAAGCAUGUUUUUCUCAUUGGUUAUAGAGUGUCAUCAACUGGCUUGCAGUAAAGGAGUGAUGUGAUAAGAUUUUGUUUUAUUACAAUAACUCCAAGAGCCACUUGGGGGGGAAGAAAGCUAAUGGAACUCGAGAGCAGGUGAAAUGGAAGGCUAUGUGCAAGUUCUAAGAGAAUAAAAUUUGUUUUCUAAUGUUGCCUCUUUAUCGAGAUUGUUUUUUCAUAACCUGAUUAAAAAUCUCUGUCCUUUUCACCUUC